UACGUAGGGGGCAAGCGUUGUCCGGAUUCAUUGGGCGUAAAGCGCGUGUAGACGGCUCGAUAAGUCUGCUGUGAAAGUCCUGGGCUCAACCCUGGGAUGCCGGUGGAUACUGUCGAGCUCGAGUCCGGAAGAGGCGAGUGGAAUUCCUGGUGUAGCGGUGAAAUGCGCAGAUAUCAGGAGGAACACCGAUGGCGAAGGCAGCUCGCUGGGACGUGACUGACGCUGAGACGCGAAAGCGUGGGGAGCAAACAGG
rnacentral:rRNA from 1 species